GGGCCCGUAGCUCAGCUUGGACAGAGCAGUUCCCUCCUAAGGAAAAGGUCGCGCGUGGCCUUUCUCUUUCAGAGAGAAACCCCAGGGAAAGAGAAAACCUGCGGCCUGCGAGUUCAAAAGUCGGGAAGUCGCGCCGGGCCCG
rnacentral:tRNA from 1 species